GGCCUUAUGGUCUAGUAGUAUGAUUCCUCGUUUGGGUGUUGAGCUGAAUCGAGGAGGUCCUGGGUUCAACUCCCAGUGAGGCCC
rnacentral:tRNA from 2 species